rnacentral:rRNA from 1 species
ACGGGAGGCAGCAGUGGGGAAUAUUGGACAAUGGGGGGAACCCUGAUCCAGCCAUGCCGCGUGUGUGAAGAAGGCCCUCGGGUUGUAAGGCACUUUCAGCGAGGAAGAACGCCUAGUGGUUAAUACCCAUUAGGAAAGACAUCACUCGCAGAAGAAGCACCGGCUAACUCCGUGCCAGCAGCCGCGGUAAU